rnacentral:rRNA from 1 species
UUGAUUAGUGGCGAACGGGUGAGUAACACGUGAGUAACCUGCCCUUGACUUCGGGAUAACUCCGGGAAACCGGGGCUAAUACCGGAUAUGAGCCGUCCUCGCAUGGGGGUGGUUGGAAAGUUUUUCGGUCAGGGAUGGGCUCGCGGCCUAUCAGCUUGUUGGUGGGGUGAUGGCCUACCAAGGCGACGACGGGUAGCCGGCCUGAGAGGGCGACCGGCCACACUGGGACUGAGACACGGCCCAGACUCCUACGGGAGGCAGCAGUGGGGAAUAUUGCACAAUGGGCGAAAGCCUGAUGCAGCGACGCCGCGUGAGGGAUGACGGCCUUCGGGUUGUAAACCUCUUUCAGCAGGGAAGAAGCGCAAGUGACGGUACCUGCAGAAGAAGCGCCGGCUAACUACGUGCCAGCAGCCGCGGUAAUACGUAGGGCGCAAGCGUUGUCCGGAAUUAUUGGGCGUAAAGAGCUCGUAGGCGGUUUGUCGCGUCUGGUGUGAAAACUCGAGGCUCAACCUCGAGCUUGCAUCGGGUACGGGCAGACUAGAGUGCGGUAGGGGAGACUGGAAUUCCUGGUGUAGCGGUGGAAUGCGCAGAUAUCAGGAGGAAC